AGAAGAGACAGCAGAGAACUGUAGACACCAGGCUGGAGAGCAGAGGGCCUCAAAGCAGAGGGUAAUGAGCCUAGUGGGGAGGUCCGCUCCCGGCAGGUCCUUCCCCGCAGGGCCCCUUAGCUCCCAUUCAGCCCCCCGGAAGGAGGCCUUAACACGCGUUGCCCCAGGUGGGCCUCCCAGCCUGCUAACAGCUGUGCCGCAGUGGAGACAAGCCCCUCAGGUUGCCUUCUGACCCCUACGGAGUAGGGCCUCUGCAGUCCCUUGGCCACCAAACACAGCAGCAGAUGACCGUCAGCGGACCGCCACCUCUAGCCUGACCGGGUUACCUCCCUUCCACCAGGCCUAGAAGCGUUAUGCCUCUUCUCCUUGUUCACCUGUCUCCUCCCUUCCACCCUGUGGGUCCCCUGAUCUCCCCCCGGGGCCCACUGGGACUCAGCCGCCAGCAAACGCCCUGCCCUCACUGAGUGCUGCCAUUGUGCCCGCUGCAGCCCCGCGGGGAGGGCUGCCUACUCUCACGGCUCUUCCUCGUCCCGGGGGCCAGGGUGGGGCAGGCAUCUUUCUCGCUUCCUGGGGCCCGGCCUUGCCCCCCGUCUCUCCCUCUACUCCCCACUCCCGCCUCGUCCCCACAGCCGCGCCAGCUCCCCCACCUCCCUUGCAGGCACUACACUGGCUCCCCGCUCGCCAUCGCUGCAACUCCGGCUCCUGCUUCUGCUUUUCCUCAGCCUCAGAGGACCUCCCGGCCACUGCCCCUCCUGCUUUACUUGGAUGAAGCGUGGUAGAGGAGUGUGUAUGUAUGCAGUGCCAAGAAGGCAAAGGCGCUGGAACAGCCGGCAGGUCCUUGGAAGCCUGUUACCUUGUGCCUGCGGUCUAGCAAGCAUGUGACAAGACACCUUAACCACGCGACCGUUUAUACUUCAGGGACACCUCAUGAGAUUCCACUGAGGACCCAAAUGGAUUUCCCAGAUGAGAAAGACCAAAAUAAAACCAAAGGAAACAAACCCUCUCUGGGGUGUGAAACUGAUCUACAUU